GCAAAAUUUGCCGCCCCCUAGAUUUGCCGCCAUGGGCCGCGGCCACUGGCCACCCCCUUAAUCCGGCCCUGGUAGGCGCUUAAUUUCUGUAUCCUCAAAAAUGCCCUUAAUAUAUUGAAAUAGAGCUUUGAGAAGAUGUAAUUAAUUGCGAGGGAGGGGCAACUGUCCCCUCUCCCCUAUGACUGUCGCUAAUCUCCUUAUCAGUAGCCUAUUUUAAAGAAGUAAGUACCAUUUUUAUGAAAUAUGGUAACGCGGUGUCACAUUAGGCAACAGAGCCUCUUAUGUUUUGUUUAUGUUUGUAGGUUAUGUCCAGAAAAUGUGCUCGGCCGCUCGGCUUCUUUCGUUGUGUUACAUAUGGUUACAGGUACCCAGUUCGUCCCCGUAAAAGUUCUCCUUUUUAAAAUUUUAAAAAUCCUAGACUGUAUAGAUUUUUCAGUCAUUUCUUCAAGAGCCUAGUCCUGAAUACUUUCGGAGGGCGCGUCCUCGAUCAGAGAUUUGCUGUUUCCAGCAGUGUUGGUAGUUAUAGGUCUUUUUACGGUUUUUACUUACACGCCGGUUUCAGCGUCCAGGUGAAAGGUACUUUUUUUUAUUUUUGCAAUUUUUACUUAAAUAUCUCCCUCAAGUUUGCCUCAAAUCCUAUUUUAAGCAGUUUGAGAUCAGGUCGAAGGCAACACGAUGCACAAGGAUCAGAGAGAACAGGUACAGUCUCGUCUCGGUGGCGAAGUCCCUUGAGAAGCCGUCUUUUUAAUCAUUGUCGAAGAUGUCAAUGCAUGGCAGUUUCAAAGAAUUUUUUGAAGAACCUGAAGGUGCCGGUGUACUUAUAUCCAUUUUAUAACUCACUCUGCUUGCUUUUACAGGUAACUUCUACUAAACGAUAGAGCUCUGAAAGCUCCAGUAACGAGAUGUAUUCAACCCAUGGGUAUGAUUCAGAGGAUGAGUACUGUCCUAGAAACGUUUGCCUUGAUGUUGGUGAACUGUCUGCAGACACUGAUCUCACGAAGACGCCAACUUCAGGUCAGGAGUAUCUACAGCAAGUUGUGUUGGAAGCAUCCAAAUAUCGUGAUGUCGUUGUGGCUAAUAUUGAUCGGUCCAAAUUGAAGAAACAAAUUCCAAUUCUAAUUAUGGUUACUGGAAUUUUGUAAGUACUUUUUACUUUCUUUACCUUUACAUCACCUUUUUUUCAUUACUUUCUAUA
rnacentral:lncRNA from 1 species